rnacentral:tRNA from 1 species
GCUUACAAAGCUAAAAAUAGCGCUGGUCUUGUAAACCAGAGGUUGAGACUUGUCUCUGUAAGCU